CAGAGCCGCCAGGGGCAUCCGUCUUCGUGGGCCGUUCGGCCCGCUUCGGCGCGAUUGAGAUCGCACCCUUGGAACCUGACCCGGUUGAGACCGGCGGAGGGAGCGCGGCGCGAACGCUCG
rnacentral:ncRNA from 1 species